CUAAAUCCUAAAAGAAGUUCAGCAAGCAUCUGCUUAUCUUGAUUUUGUCGCAUCCUCUCGUCUCGGGCGAUCCAAUGUGUCCCCCUUUCAGUUCAAAAAUCCAGUUUCUUUGAUUCUGAAAUCUUAACCCUUAACUCCUCAAUCACCAUGAGCUCAUCAAAGCUUCUGCAUUUCUUCAUCUUCUUCCUUUCAACCGCACUAGUCAUUCUCCGUUGGUUGCUCGCCGUUUUUUUUCAAAUAAAUCGGGCAUCGAUCCUUUUCUAUAUCGUUGAUACGCUUUUUUCGAUUUACUUUAGGUUCUGUGGUCUUACAUCGUUUGCUGUUGAUUUAGAUGAUCGAACCACCGUGCAUUUUUGGUCUUCCAGUCAUCGGAGGUUCGAUAAGCCUAAUCUAGUCGUGGUCCAUGGCUACGGAGGCGAUGCACGGUGGCAAUUUCUAUAUCAAGUGGGUUUUCUUUCUCGGAAGUUUAAUCUGUUCAUGCCGGAUUUAUUGUUCUUUGGUAAAUCUUAUUCGAACCGGCCGGACCGGACCGAUGCGUUUCAAGCGGGAUGUUUGAUAGAAGGGUUGAAUAGAUUGGGUGUGGAUAAGUUUUCGGUGUACUCGAUUAGCUAUGGAGGGUAUGUGGCGUAUCGGAUGGCUGAGAUUUGCCCUAAAUAUAUGAUGGAGAAGCUUGUGAUAGUGAGCAGUGGGGUGGCAUGGAGUGAUGAUGAGAAAGGAGAACAUAUUAAGAAGAUUGGAAGAGAUCCAAAAGAGCUGCUUGUACCAACAAAUCCAAAUGAUCUGAGACUUCUAGUGAAGCUAUCAGUAUACAAAGGCAAGCCUUUGAAGUGGCUUCCUGAUUUUUUCCUUCAAGAGUUCAUCAAUGUGUUGGGCAAUAAUAAUAGGAAGGAGAAGUUAGAGCUGGUAGAACACUUGUUGGCCAAAAAAGCAGAUACAGACCUUCCAAUUCUAACCCAGGUAUGUUGGUUUAAAAAUUGAAGCAUUGGUGCUCCAAGUUCUCUGAGUUUGUUUAUUUAUAAUUGUAUUAUCAUGUUAUCAAUGUUGAAAUUAUUUUCAAAAUCAUGAGUUUUUAAGUUCGAACUUCAAUCGUAAUAAAAUCAAAAAAAAUAAAAAAUCCUAAAUCUGGGUAGUGCAUCUUAUGAGUAAUGCUCCAUUUGGGUCAAGGAAACACUUCUAAUAUGGGGCGAUCAGGAUAAUGUCUUCCCAGUACAUUUGGCCCAUCAGUUGCAGAGGUAAGUUAAUGCUUUUCUCUAUUUUGGUUAAUUUCCAAGGCAUUAUCUAUUUGAGAUGAGCAUAACAAUUUUGGUUGAUCACAGGCAUCUUGGACCAAAAUCAAGAGUGGAAAUAAUCAAGGACACAGGACAUGCUGCAAAUAUUGAAUCUCCUGAUGCUGUCAAUACUUUGAUCGCAUCAUUUCUUUUAGGUCACUCUUAAUCUAACGGUUAGAAAUUCCAUACAAAUUGAAGCAUGAUUCCCACGCGUGAGAAAUUUCCAAGUAUGAAAUAUGCAAAUGCAAUUUUCCUCUUGAAAUUUGUGUGGAAUUAUCAAGCAAUUGAAGAAUUAAUUCACUUUUGCUAAAUGCUUCAAUUUUAU
rnacentral:misc_RNA from 1 species